AUUGAACGCUCGCGGGAUGCUUUACACAUGCAAGUCGAACGGCAGCGCGGACUCCGGUCUGGCGGCGUGUGGCGAACGGGUGAGUAAUGUAUCAGAACGUGCCCAGUAGCGGGGGAUAACUACGCGAAAGCGUAUCUAAUACCGCACACGCCCUACGGGGGAACGCAGGGGAUCGUAAGACCUUGCACUAUUGGAGCGGCCGAUAUCGGAUUAGCUAGUUGGUGAGGUAACGGCUCACCAAGGCGACGAUCCGUAGCUGGUUUGAGAGGACGACCAGCCACACUGGGACUGAGACACGGCCCAGACUCCUACGGGAGGCAGCAGUGGGGAAUUUUGGACAAUGGGGGCAAGCCUGAUCCAGCCAUCCCGCGUGUAGGAUGAAGGCCUUCGGGUUGUAAAGCGCUUUUGGCAGGAAAGAAAAGUCGCGGGCUAAUACCGAGUGGAACUGACGGUACCUGAAGAAUAAGCACCGGCUAACUACGUG
rnacentral:rRNA from 1 species